UAAAUUUAAGUUUACAUAUUAUUGAUUGGAAUUUUUUUAAUUUUAGCUACAACGAUUAUUAUCAAGAAAUUGUAUUAUCAAAAAUAAAUGCAGCAGCCACUACUUCAUUGAGUAAAAAAAGACAUUAGUAUGGCAAAAACAUCAUAAAGAAUAACAAUGUAUUUGAUGUAUCUGGUUGAUGUGGAAAAAGAUGGAAAUGGAUAAUGUUUGUAGAGUUUGUACAUGGCAAUCCAUGAAAGAGAGUUAUAUAAAAUAUGAUAUUGUUAAAAACUAUAAAGAAAGAAAUCCAUUUAUAAAACUAAAAGUCAUGGAACUUUUGCUUCAUGGUCAGCGGUCUGUACCUACUUUGUUUCAUUUUGUAAUUUUUUAUAUUAUAUAUUAUGUAGGAAUAUAAUAUAAUAAAAAUUGUUUCUAUUCAUUUCUAUUUUAGUUUAAAGCUUAAGAAAAAAAAACAAAUUAUACGAAAGCAAGUUCAUAGUAGAACUCUAUAUACUCUUACAAAAAAAAUAUAUUUAUGUUAACAUUAUAAUUUUAUACCUACUUGAAUAUUUAAAUACUUUCUUAGUUUUGUUACCAAACCUAGGCCAUUUUCACCUUAUUUUUAUAGAAUUAAA